AACGCACAUUGCGCCCCUUGGUAUUCCGAGGGGCAUGCCUGUUCGAGCGUCAUUACAACCCUCAAGCACUGCUUGGUGUUGGGCCCCGCUGGUAAACUAGCGGGCCUUAAAAUCAGUGGCGGUGCCGUCGGGCCCUGAGCGUAGUAAAUCUCCUCGCUACAGGGUCCUGGCGGACGCUGGCCAUCAACCCCCCCCUUCUCUAAGUUUGACCUCGGAUCAGGUAGGGAUACCCGCUGAACUUAA
rnacentral:misc_RNA from 1 species